rnacentral:rRNA from 1 species
UGGGGAAUAUUGGACAAUGGGCGCAAGCCUGAUCCAGCCAUGCCGCGUGAGUGAUGAAGGCCCUAGGGUUGUAAAGCUCUUUUGUGCGGGAAGAUAAUGACUGUACCGCAAGAAUAAGCCCCGGCUAACUUCGUGCUAGCAGCCGCGGUAAUACGAAGGGGGCUAGCGUUGCUCGGAAUCACUGGGCGUAAAGGGUGCGUAGGCGGGUCUUUAAGUCAGGGGUGAAAUCCUGGAGCUCAACUCCAGGACUGCCUUUGAUACUGAGGAUCUUGAGUUCGGGAGAGGUGAGUGGAACUGCGAGUGUAGAGGUGAAAUUCGUAGAUAUUCGCAAGAACACCAGUGGCGAAGGCGGCUCACUGGCCCGAUACUGACGCUGAGGCACGAAAGCGUGGGGAGCAAACA